CGGUUUACAUUAAACUGCUGUAUGCUUUACAGCUGAAUCCCCCAAAUUCUUCAUCAAACGCAAACCAAGUUCAACAAUAUCAAUUGUCCCCAGGAGAACAUCCGAGAAUUCAGGUACUUGUUCUGGAUACUUGAUCACAAACAUGUCCAAGAAUUUUUCUUCAGAAUAUCCAAGAAUAGAAGCUAAACUGAUUUCUGCUCUGAUCAAACCCUUUAGAAUCAAAACUCUUAAAACUGAACACCUUGGAACAACCCUCUUCUCGAAACUAUAACAUAAAACAACUGGAUAUUUUGCAAUAAUUGCAGGCUGCCAACCCAUUUUGUUCACAAGAAAAUCUAUCUUCUUUAUAAUUGUCUUCUCUGAGUAACCCAUACACAGUGGACGCUUUUUGAUGACAGACCAUAUUUCUUCUUCCGAAAAACCCAACCUACUGAAAGCAUCAAUUUUUUGUUUCCAUGUUUUGGAUUUCAUUUGCAUUAUCAUUCGAAGAGCAUUGGCAAAUGAAAUAUUCCGAGGAUCAAAUCCCAUACCUACAACAUUUUUAAUAGCUUCACUAAACCUUUCAGAAUUUGCGCAUACAGCGUUGGGGCAAUUGGUAAUCAAAAUAGAGAUGGUAGAUUGACGCAUUCCGAGCUCUCUUAAGACUGAUAAAUUAACAGGCAAGUGUUCCUUGACAUAGCACAUGUUGAAUGCUGAUAUGCGUUUCAAUAUAAUAAGGCCUCACUCAUCAGAAAAUAACAAACUUUUAAUAACAGCAUAAACUGGGAUCAAAAGAUUGUUCAAGCUGCCAGACAAGAAAACGGGGUUCUUAGAUAUCAUCACCGGAAGGUCAGAAACCCCAAUAGAACGUAAAAAUUGAAUCUUUGGUAAUAUUGUCUUCACGGGAUCGAAUAAAAUCAACUUGGGCUGUCCCCUAAUAACUUGAGAUAUCUGGUAUUUGGUGAGUCCAUAGUCUUUGAGAAGAUUAAUGACAGCAUCUGGUCUUUCGGAGUUUUCAAAAUUUACGUACUUUGAAACACGUUUAGCAGAUUGUGAGGAUAAGCCACAUGAGUUGAUGAGGUAUGACACUGUAAAAGAGUGUGUAUUAGAUUUAGAUGAAAAAUACCUGAUUGUAACCAGUGCUUUAAAAUGAAUAAUACCCAAUUGGGCACUGUUCGAGUCUAACAGCGCACGACUCCAAUCAUUUAACGCCAAUCUUCUAUUGGAGAAACGGAACAUCAUAUGAAAGGCCAACUCACCGAGUUUAGGAGGGGAAACAGCUGGAAUUGGACGUUUUGCUUUAUCUGCCUUGUAAAUCAGUGAGCUAUAAAAUCGAAAAUACGAUUUUUACCCAGAAAACCAUUCAGCAAUACGAAACUUUCUGAGAAUUUAACAUCAAAAGAGCCAUAAUAUUGCCUGCUCUGCCUCCAUUCCGGCAGUUCAAGAUAGGUCACGGUACUUAAGCGUUUUAGGGUUUUGCAGUUGCAAGAGCGAAGAGGAGAAAUCAAUUAUAUUUACUCAAACACGCUGCCGUUUUCAGUUAGCUGGUGCUUUUAGAGGCUGAGUCCAGCAUGGGUCAGCAUAAUACCAGGCCCAACUCGAACCGAAACUGCAUUUCUUUCCCUGAACUGAUUUCACCGUUGUUGUUGCUUUUCAUUUGUAAUAAAAUUAUUUGUAAUGGAAAACAGUUACAAAAUGAUAUAUAGGGAUAUGCAGUUGCAAAAGAGAGCGAGAGUGAAGAGGAGAAAUCAAUUUUCAAUGUAAUUUUACAUUUUUUAUCAUUUCGCAGUUGAUUGCCGUUGUCAUUGCAUUUGUCAUUACAUCUACAACUACUAAGGACGAAUUCCAAACCAUCACAUAUCAGCAAUAAUUCUAAAAACUGAAAAAAGAAAAGAAAAGAUAAGUUCAAAAUGAUUCUGUACAAAUUACAAUAAUCAUCUUUUCUUUUGUUUUGUUUUACUUUCUCCUUCAUCUGCAGCUAUUGCUCCCACUCGAGUCUGUCUUCACCUUGAUUGUUAGUAUACGUGAAUAGUAUCCGUGAAUAGUAUCAGUAUACAUAAAUAGUAUCAGUAUACGUAAAUAGUACUAAUAUAUUUGAAUAGUAUCAGUAUACGCCGACGCCAAUAGUACUGUUUACAACCAACUUUGAGUUACUGUUUUACUAUUCACUACUAAGCGAUUGUUUUACUAUUCACCACUAAGUCGAUUGUUUUACUAUUCACCACUAAGUCGAUCUACAACUUCUUUCCGAGCGUAUAGCACCGAUGAACUCAUCGUAAUUUUCUUAUCGUCGUGGUAUAUUUGUUUUCAAAAUAUAUCCACGGAUCUGGUCCCGCUAUCUGACCAGCUGGACCUGCCGAAACCUUCGGCUCUGAUACCAGUUGUUGAAAAAAAUUACGCAAAAUCCCCAAUAACUUAGAUUUAUGAGGGAGCAAAAGAAAAUAAUAACACACAAUUUGAUAAUGGAGUUCGGCCAAUCUUGCCUACUUCUCCGGACUGCCACAUAUCUUUUAUAGAGAAAAAUAAAUAAAGUAUUUACAUACACUCACAACCCGCUAUCCAAGAAUACCCGAAAAAUUAAACUUAAUUUUUCUUCUUGCAUAAUCUCUCUAUUUUUCUCUCUUACAGUUGCUCUCUCUCUCAAUUGCUAUCACUCUCUAUUUGUCUUGUGUAUUUAAAUGAACUUCGUCUGCCUCUUUUUAUAGGCAGUUGUAUACUUUGUCAAAAGAAAAUUGACAACUUUUCUUCUUUUCCAAAUAACACGUUUUCCUUUUUUUUUUUUUUUCUUUUUUUCUUUUGCACAUGUGGGUCCCAUUUAAGUGGGACCACCAAAACCAACUUUGACAAGGUCCACCUAGAAGGAAGCAAUAAUACAAGGCAAAAGAUUAUUGACAUAUGAUUUGUAUCCAGUUUCUACGAGUUAGGUUCUCCAUUCUCACCGCAACUUGCUGUUAAAUUUUUUGUCAAAAUCUUCACCUUGUGGCAGUUCUUUUUCAUGAAAUUUCAAUGUAACUUUACAUUUUUUAUCAUUUCGUAGUUGUUUGCAUUUGUCAUUACAUAUCUUCAACUACUAAUGACGAAUACCAACCAUCACAUAUCAGCAAUAAUUCCAUAAAUUGGAAAAAGAAAAGAAAAGUUUAAAAUAAUUCUAUACAAAUUGCAAUAAUCAUCUUUUCUUAUCAGCUCCAAAAUCUUUUCUUUUCUUUUGUUUCACUUUCUCCGACUUCAUGUUGAUAUUGAUUUCACUCUUCUUCAGUAAUUCCCUCAGGAUAAAUCUGCAGAAAGAUUGGAACAUGUAAAAAUGAAAUUGUCAGUAAAGAAUUAUAUAUAUAUAUAUAUAUAUAUAUAUAUAAAGGGAGAGCGAAAAAAGAAAAAUUAUCUUACCUGACUGCGAUUUUCUUCAUGGAAACUUACGGUUCUAACUUUGAACUCCCCUCUGCUAGUAGUUAGCUCAUCUAACAUUUCUGCGUAACACACUUGGACUUUCCCUUCCUAAUUUCCUAAACCAGUUGCUUCAUUUUCCUGAUAAUUAAAAAGAAAAUGCACAAAAUUAGUACUAAUCCAAAAAAAUGUAUGUAUAGACUAAAGAUUGAAUAAACAGAUGGACAUACUGUCAAAGAAAGGCUGAAAGAUAGUCGUGGAGCUCUGGUAAUUUCCUCAUAUUCAGCUACAUCUAGUUCUCUUAAAUGAUGAGGACUAAACAGUUUGUAGAGGCUGAGUGCAUGGGUAUACACCGGGCCCAACUCGAACCGACAAUGCUUCCCUCCUAACUUGUGAUUUUCCUCUCAAAAAUUAUGAGAUUAUUGCGAGUUCAAUAUUCCAACCUAAUUAAUUGGAAAAAGUUCCCAAAGAAAAGCAGUGGUUCUGUACAAAAUCCUCCCUUUGAUUAAGAAAAGCAACGCAAAACUAAUUACCAUACAUGUCUAUGGAUUGACAAUGUUUAAUUUCAAAUUACAUGGUCUUUGCUGUUCAUUUUUAGAUAAAAAUUUUUGGUGAACAAAAAGCAUUUACAGAAUACUACUAGUACAAGACACACGAAUCUUCUUAUUAACAAAUAAAUUGAUAGACUCACCUAUUACAAGUUAAUUAGAAAAAGUAACCUCAUUUCAGUCAAGCUAAUGCAAUGUUGUGUCCGGUUUACAUUAAACUGCUGUAUGCUUUACAGCUGAAUCCCCAAAAUUCUUCAUCAAACUCAAACCCAGUUCAACAAUAUCAAUUUUCCCCAGGAGAACAUCCGAGAAUUCAGGUACCUGUUCUCGAUGCUUGAUCACAAACAUGUCCAAGAAUUUUUCUUCAGAAUAUCCAAGAAUAGAAGUUAAACUGAUUUCUGCUCUGAUCAAACCCUUUAGAAUCAAAACUCUUAUAACUGAACACCUUGGAACAACCCUCUUCUCGAAACUAUAACUUAAAACAAUUGGAUGUUUUGCAACAAUUGCAGGCUGCCAACCCAUUUUGUUCACAAGAAAAUCUAUCUUCUUUAUAAUUGUCUUCUCUGAUAAACUCAUACACAGUGGACGCUUUUUGAUAACAGACCAUAUUUCUUCUUCCGAAAACCCCGACCUACUGUAAGCAUCAAUUUUUUGUUUCCAUGUUUUGGAAUUCAUUUGAAUUAUCAUUCGAAGAGCAUCGGCAAAUGAAAUAUUCAGAGGAUCAAAUCCCAUACCUACAACAUUUUUAAUAGCUUCACUAAACCUUUCAGAAUUUGUGCAUACAGCGUUGGGGGAAGUGGUAAUCAAAAUAGAGAUGGUAGAUUGGCGCAUUCCGAGCUCUCUUAAGACUGAUAAAUUAACAGGCAAGUGUUCCUUGACAUAGCACAUGUUGAAUGCUGAUAUGCGUUUCAAUAUAAUAAGCACUUUCUCAUCAGAAAAUACCAAACUUUUAAUAAAAUCAUAAAAUGGGAUCAAAAGAUUGUUCAAGCUGCCAGACAAGAAAACUGGGUUCUUAGAUAUCAUCACCGGAAGGUCUGAGCCAGAAACCCCAAUCGAACGUAAAAAUUGAAUCUUUGGUAAUAUUGUCUUCACGGGAUCGAAUAAAAUCAACUUGGGCUGUCCCCUAAUAACUUGAGAUAUCUGGUAUUUGGUGAGUCCAUAGUCUUUGAGAAGACUAAUGACAGAAUCUGGUCUUUCAGUGUUUUCAAAAUUUACGUACUUUGAAACAAGUUUAGCAGAUUGUGAGGAUAAGCCACAUGAGUUGAUGAGAUAGGACACUGUAAAAGAGUGUUGAUUAGAUUUAGAUGAGAAAUACCUGACCGUAAGCAGCUCUUUAAAAUGAAUAAUACCCAAUUGGGUACUGUUUGAGUCUAACAGAACAUGACUCCAAUCAUUUAACGCCAAUCUUCCACUGAAGAAACGGAACAUCGUAUGAAAGGCCAACUCACCGAGUUUAGGAGGGGAAACAGCUGGAAUUGGACGUUUUGCUUUAUCUGCCUUGUAAAUCAGUGAGCUAUAAAAUCGAAAAUACGAUUUUUACCCAGAAAACCAUUCAGCAAUACGAAACUUUCUGAGAAUUUAACAUCAAAAGAGCCAUAAUAUUGCCUGCUCUGCCUCCAUUCCGGCAGUUCAAGAUAGGUCACGGUACUUAAGCGUUUUAGGGUUUUGUGUUUUAGGGUUUUGCAGUUUCAAGAGGGAAGAGGAGAAAUCAAUUUUAUUUACUCAAACACGCUGCCGUUUUUACUUAGCUGGUGCUUUUAGAGGCUGAGUCCAGCAUGGGUCGGCAUAAUACCAGGCCCAACUCGAACCGAAACCGCGUUUCUUUCUCUGAACUGAUUUCACUGUUGUUAUUGCUGUUCAUUUUUAAUAAAAUUAUUGGCAAUGGAAAACAGUUACAAAAUGAUUUAUAGGGAUAUGCAGUUGCAAAAGAGAGCGAGAGGAAAGAGGAGAAAUCAAUUUUCAAUGUAAUUUUACAUUUUUUAUCAUUUCGUAGUUGCUUGCCUUUGUCAUUACAUCUACAACUACUAAUGAGGAAUACCAAACCGUCACAUAUCAGCAAUAAUUCUAAAAAUUGGAAAAGAAAAGAAAAGUUCAAAAUGGUUCUGUACAAAUUACAAUAUCAUCUUUUCUUAGCAGCUACAAAAUCUUUUCUGUUUUGUUUUACUCUUCUUCAGUAAUUCCCUCAGGAUAAAUCUGCAGUAAAGAAAUGAACAUGUAAAAAUGAAAAUAUCAGUAAAGAAUUAUAUAUACAUAUACAUAUAUAUACGAAGAAAGAGCGAAAAAAGAAAAAUUGUCUCACCUGACUGCGAUUUUCUUCAUGGAAGCUUACAGUUCUAACUUUGAACUCCCCUCUGCUAGUAGUUAGCUCAUCUAACAUUUCCGCAUCAAACACUUGGAUUUUCCCUUCCUCAUUUCCUAAACCAGUUGCUUCAUUUUCCUGAUAAUUAAAAGGAAAAUGCACAAAUUAGUACUAAUCCAAAAAAAUGUAUAUAUAGACUAAAGAUUGAAUAAACAAAGAUUGAAUAAACAGAUGGACAUACUCUCAAAGAAAGGCUGAAAGAUAAUCGUGGAGCUCUGGUAAUUUCCUCAUAUUCAGCUGCACCUAGUUCUCGUAAAUGAUGACUAAAUAGUUUAGGAAAUAUGUGCUGCUUAUCCAAAUCAGAAUAAAGAAGCGCAAUGGAAACAGAACUCCAGCUAUUGGAACCCAUGUAACACCAAAACAGACCAGGAAAUACACCAACUGUAUGAGUGUAAAAAUAGCAGUGUACUUGAAUGGAACUGAUUCAAGAAAUGAAGCAUGAACUCUUUCCAACACCCUGUCAAAAGAAAAUUAUCAGCAAACAUAUAUACUAACUUCAAGAAACCAUAUGCAAUAAAAUAUUUAACUAAAAAAACUUUACUUGUAGCGCCUUCCAGGCAUGACGAAAAGAAGUAGUAUUCUUUCCCAGAACUGAUUUCCAGGUAAACUGUCAAUAGCCAUGUACGCAAAGUAUCCCCAGAGAACUGAUGUAGGUAUUAGCUUUAUUGCAGGCAUAGCGCAUACUGAUCCUGCUACUAGAAGCGACUGCAAAAGAUUGCUCACUCUUUGUUCAUUAACUCUAACAGGCAAGUAAGCAUCAAUAUGCUUCUCAGGAUCAAUUGCAUAUUUGGGAUUUUCUUCCUUGUCUUCCCCUUUCCUCACUGCCUCCUUCAAGUCUUCCAGCUCUUUAGCUACUGCAAUCUGCAGUUAAACGCAGACUUUGAGUAUUAGCAAUUGUUUGAUACAUUGGGGACAUACUUGUGCAAUUCUACAUUUGGACUUACAGCUGGACUACUGUCCAUUUCUAUGAAUAAAGCUUGCAUCUUGCCAUAUAUUUCCGAGUUGCUAGCUUUCUGUUUGAUGCUUUCUUUAGCACUUUCAACCAUUUUCCUCCGAAUCAACUGCACAUUAUUAGACCGAUUAAAGAAGUACAGUUUAUGGACCUUACACUAUAAGAAAGUACUCCUUUGAGUAGUUAAAAGAAAAAAACUGGAUACUAAUAAGCAUUAGAAAAAACACACCAUAACCAAAAACCUUUCACUAACAUUUCAUAUGUUAUUAAUUAUUACUUCUAACAUGCAUCAAACUAUGUUAAAUCUUUUAUUUGUUGUGGUGUUACCUGUCUCUUUAGGACAGCAAGGCUCUUUGUGUGCAUCGGCGACUGGGGUAGAACUCCAUUUGUAGGAGGUAGUCCAAGCAAUCCACAAAGCAAAGUCUGGAAAACCAUUUAGAUAAUAAUUGAAUAUAGGGUUUUGGAAGAAAGCAUAGGAAAAUAGACGGUUUAAGGUAUUAUAUAGGCACGUACCAGAAAUCCUAGCAAUAAAAUGUCAUAAUGGUAUGCAGAAGGAUUUUUAAGAUUGAACUCCUUUUGUUGUGCAAGCUGCGAAGCUACACUGUGGUCGAAAAAGUAAAGUCCUGCUAUCAUCAGAGCAGGAAUAAAGGCUGCAAAGAUGUAUGCUGGAGGAACAUUUCCCAUAUCCUGAAGAUUGAAUAAACAGAUGGACAUACUCUCAAAGAAAGGCUGAAAGAUAGUCGUGGAGCUCUGGUAAUUUCCUCAUAUUCAGCUGCAUCUAGUUCUCGUAAAUGAUGAGGACUAAACAGUUUUUAGAGGCUGAGUCCAGCAUGGGUAUACCAGGCCCAACUCGAAGAACCAAAACUAAUGAUCAUAACAUGUCUGUGGAUUGACAAUGUUUAAUUUCAAAUAACAUGGCCUUUGCUGUUCAUUUUUAGAUAAAAAUUUUUGGUGACUAAAAAGCAUUUACAGAACGAGAAACUUAAGACAUAAAUAACAGCAAAAGCUUAGGGAGAACUUGAACAAGGAGAGGAUACUACUAGUACAAGACACACGAAUCUUCUUAUUAACAAAUAAAUUGAUAGACUCGCCUAUUACAAGUUAAUUAGAAAAAGUAACCUCAUUUCAGUCAAGCUAAUGCAAUAUUGUGUCCGGUUUACAUUAAACUUCUGUAUGCUUUACAGCUGAAUCCCCCAAAUUCUUCAUCAAACUCAAACCAAGUUCGACAAUAUCAAUUUUCCCCAGAAGAACAUCCGAGAAUUCAGGUACUUGUUCUUGAUACUUGAUCACAAACAUGUCCAAGAAUUUUUCUUCAGAAUAUCCAAGAAUAGAAGCUAAACUGAUUUCUGCUCUGAUCAAACCCUUCAGAAUCAAAACUCUUAAAACUGAACACCUUGGAACAACCCUCUUAUCGAAACUAUAACAUAAAACAACUGGAUAUUUUGCAACAAUUGCAGGCUGCCAACCCAUUUUGUUCACAAGAAAAUCUAUCUUCUUUAUAAUUGUCUUCUCUGAGUAACCCAUACACAGUGGACGCUUUUUGAUAACAGACCAUAUUUCUUCUUCCGAAAAACCCG
rnacentral:lncRNA from 1 species